CUUGUACUUUAUAACGUAUCAUCCCUGAAACAGUUAGAGUCAUUUAUGAAGUACUGAAAGAUGAAUAUUUAAAGACUCCAGAUACCGAAGAAGAAUGGAAUCAUGUUGCUGACCAUUAUUUGCAACAAUGGAAUGUGCCUAACUGCAUUGGUGCAAUGGAUGGCAGACAUAUUGAAUUUAAAGUUCCUCUCAGUCAAGGAUCAUUGUACCAUAAUUAUAAAGCUGAUGCAGCUUUUCCGUUGCAGAAUCACAUAUUAAAACCUUAUCCAUCAAGCAACUUGCCUCAUGAUGAGCGAA